GGUGGAGUGGCGCAAUGGUAGCGUGCGGUCCUCCUACUAGCUCCGGCUUGUUGUGAGCAUCUCAAAUUCAAGACUGAGGUUGUGGGUUCGAGUCCCAUCUCCAUCG